GGGUGUAUAGCUCAGUGGUAGAGCACAUGCUUAGCAUGCAUGAAGUCUUAGGUUCAAUCCCCAGUACCUCCA
rnacentral:tRNA from 1 species